rnacentral:rRNA from 1 species
UAUUUUAUUAAAUACCCUAAAUGCACCAGACCCCAUCUGAUCUUGGAAGCUAAGCAGGGUUCGUCUUGAUUAGUCCUUGGAUGGGAGAUCAUCAAUGAGUAAUGGGACAUUCCAAGAA